GAGGAGGGCGUGCAAUCGUAACUCAUCUUCUUGGAAAGGAGUGCUUCCAUAUCGGUGUCUGCAAAUGGCUAAAGUUGUCAAGGAGGGGCCGUGGGGUGCGAACGCAGGGAAUGCGUUCGAUACAGGUCGUGUUGACCGCUUUACCAAGGUCAAGAUUUACCAUGGAGAUGUAAUAUACGGGUUGGAAUUAACCUUCGUCGUGGGUGGUAAACCCCAACCCCCCAUGCUUAUUGGAACCAAAAAGCGCGCAUCCCAAGAGAUCACCCUCGAUGAGGACGAACACUUCAUUUCCAUCUCGGGAUACUUCAAACAAAUGUUGGGAAACGACAUUUUCAUAACACAACUUACUCUUACCACCGAUGAAAACAGAAACGUAAGUGCUGGCAAUGAGACGGGCAAUCCUUUCUCCCUCGCUUUAGAGGAGGGAGGUCAAAUUGUGGGCUUCUGUGGACUUGUCAGUCAACCGACUGUCGCCGUGGGAGCCAUUGCGGUGUACUGCUCCUUGGCUGAUUCCUAGAUAUGGAUGCACUAGUCCGUGUAGGGUUGCUGCUACACAUAUGCUAUACUAAAUAAGGAGCAGCAGUCGUCGUCAUCAUCGUUAUCCUUAUUGUUGUUGUCCCCAUCGUCAUCCUUGUUGUUGUUGCCGUCGUCAUUAUCGUCGUUGAUGUUCUUAUCCUCAAAGUAUUCUUAAAUAAAUUAUAAACCACUUGUUGGUCUACUAUGAUAUGUUUGGACUACAA